CGGGUUCCCCGGGCCUUGCCUUUCCCGCAGGGCUCUCGGCGGGCGCCCCACGCGUGCCCUCCUGGGGUCACCACCGGCUCUGGAGCGGCAGCUGAUAUGUGUGGGGUUUCGCCGACGCUGGCGGUGCUCUGGGCUUUGCUGAGAGGGGGCUCGAACACGCUUUCCUUUGCACGCUGCUCGAGGAAACAACUCUACACCCGUGCUGAAAACGUGACAUCCUUUUACUACGCUGUCUCCAUUCGCCAGUCUGAGCACCGUUUGGGAUUGGGGUCUGGGUUCUCGAGGAGUUCCAGAUCUCCACAGCUAUCGGCCACUCCCUCCCCUGAAGGAGGCGUUCCAAUGUGACUCCGGCAGUUGGGUUCCCGCAGCUUUGGCCAGGCUUCCUGCCGACGGAGCUCCUGAGAAGCUCAGCAGCUUCAGGUUCUUCGUGCCUUUUCUGCUGUAGUUGCUUGGACAAGCGGUGACGUUAAGUGAGCCUGUAAGAAGCUUUCAGCAUCUUCCUCACCUCUUCCUUCAGGCUGUCUCCCAGCUGAACCCAACCUGCUGCUGCAUUAAGGCAAGGGAGCCUUUCAGCCGGAGCUGCCGUGCACACAGCAUUCCGUGCCUCCAACGAGGCUUUUCUUAGAUGAAACCUCACCUUUUGGCAGCUGAGAGCUGCACCUGCUGCCUGACUGUUGCUUUCUGAAUUACUGGUAUUUUAACCAAAAGAUUUCUUCCUUUGCCUCUGCUUGCUCUGUCAGCCAUCCUCUUACUGAAAAGCCGUUUAAAAUAAGCUGGUGGUCACGCCUGGCUCUCCAAAGGGAGAUAGGAAGGAAAGCGCUCCCCAGGCCUGUGCGGUUGCCCCAUUCAGCUGCAGCCCGGUUUAGACGCCUGCUGGAGUUAAUCAGUUCCAGCCACAGCAGGGGGGGGAAGGCUUUGAAAUUCCAGCGUGUACCAUAAGGGAGAUAAAGAGGAAACUUUCACUGACACACUAAUCCUGCACAGCAGCGGCUUGUCUCCAGCAUCCAGCCCUUCCCGAUCUACAGUGCUUAUCUCCUGCCAGCAGCAAGCACACAAGGGAGAAGGGCAGAAUAUAUGUGAGCACGGCAUCGUGUGUCCCAGAGCACAAGGGCCUGGAUUUGCUGCAAUGAGAUGUGGCAUGGAGGUCUGGCUGCCCAGGUGCUGCUGCUUUGCCUCCUGGGUGAGCAUGGCUCAGCUCACCUGUGGUCUGAGCAGUGUGCUCCAGCUGUGCUUCCACCUGAGUCUGGGAAAAGACACUCAGCUGGAAAUAGAAAGGGAUUUGGUUCUCUUCAUAUUUAAUGUUUCUGUCUCUUUAGAAG
ensembl:lncRNA